rnacentral:rRNA from 1 species
UACGAAGGGGGCUAGCGUUGCUCGGGAUUACUGGGCGUAAAGCGCACGUCGGCGGACUUUUAAGUCGGGGGUGAAAUCCUGGAGCUCAACUCCAGAACUGCCUUCGAAACUGAAAGUCUUGAGUUCGGGAGAGGUGAGUGGAACUGCGAGUGUAGAGGUGAAAUUCGUAGAUAUUCGCAAGAACUCCAGUGGCUAAGGCGGCUCACGGGCCCGAUACUGACGCUGAGGUGCGAAAGCGUUUUGAGCAAACAGG